AUUAGAAACAAUUGGAGUGGUUUUGACGGAAACGACUCCCCAGUUUUUUCCCCGCAUCCCUAAUAUUCAGCGGGAUGCUGAAAUUAAAGCGGGAGGAUCCAGCGACUUCAAUCAGAGAGAGUGAGAUCGAGAGAGAGAUUCACCGAGAGGCUGAAAGAGAGAGAGAGAGAGAGAGAGAGAGAGAGAGAGACGAUCUUAACGGUGACGACUUUGUCUCCCCUGUUUUUUAGAAACGUUUCAAAGAUGGAUCCGUGACCUUUCCAGUACUGGAGACGAGGCUUUCUGUAGAGGUAAAGUAACUGAUAAUGAAGAAAAGGCUUGUCCUCAGCAGUUUAAAAGGCUACUUUUCUUCUCUGGAAAUGAUUAUUUGGGCUUGAGCUCACAUCCGACAAUUGGAAAUGCUGUUGCAAAGGCUGCCCAAGAACAUGGAAUGGGCCCAAGGGGUUCUGCUCUAAUUUGCAGCUAUGCCAAUUACCAUAGGCUACUAGAGUCAAGCUGGGCAGAUCUGAAGAAAAAAGAGGUAAUAGUGUAUAAUAAUUGUUAGAAGAUUUUGUUAGGAUGUCAGAGGUCUAUUAUGUGAAGUAACGUGGCAGUUUCUAGAGUAAGCAAAGUGAAGUGCAGUCUAGCUGAAUUCUUCUAGAAGGGAUUAAACAGUGUGUUUUGUGAGCCAGCUAGAGCUUUGUUGUUUUAUUCAUUUACUAUGUCGUUUUAAGCUUUUCUUAGGGAGUAUCAUUUGAGUCUAUGGGGUGUGCGUUUUGUAAGAGGCUAUAUAAGUCUCAGCAGGAGAUUAGGAGGGUAUGAAUUGAAUUGUUAGCUUGUUCAUUUAUGAACGAUGGAGGCCCUUGGCUCCUUAAAUUGCCAAGAACUUGGAGAUUAACCAUCUCGAAUUGGCCUUAUUGAAUACAAUUCUCUAUUUCUAUUCU